AGAGUUUGAUCCUGGCUCAGGAUGAACGCUAGCUACAGGCUUAACACAUGCAAGUCGAGGGGCAGCAUGGUCUUAGCUUGCUAAGGCCGAUGGCGACCGGCGCACGGGUGAGUAACACGUAUCCAACCUGCCGUCUACUCUUGGACAGCCUUCUGAAAGGAAGAUUAAUACAAGAUGGCAUCAUGAGUCCGCAUGUUCACAUGAUUAAAGGUAUUCCGGUAGACGAUGGGGAUGCGUUCCAUUAGAUAGUAGGCGGGGUAACGGCCCACCUAGUCUUCGAUGGAUAGGGGUUCUGAGAGGAAGGUCCCCCACAUUGGAACUGAGACACGGUCCAAACUCCUACGGGAGGCAGCAGUGAGGAAUAUUGGUCAAUGGACGAGAGUCUGAACCAGCCAAGUAGCGUGAAGGAUGACUGCCCUAUGGGUUGUAAACUUCUUUUAUACGGGAAUAAAGUGAGCCACGUGUGGCUUUUUGUAUGUACCGUAUGAAUAAGGAUCGGCUAACUCCGUGCCAGCAGCCGCGGUAAUACGGAGGAUCCGAGCGUUAUCCGGAUUUAUUGGGUUUAAAGGGAGCGUAGAUGGAUGUUUAAGUCAGUUGUGAAAGUUUGCGGCUCAACCGUAAAAUUGCAGUUGAUACUGGAUAUCUUGAGUGCAGUUGAGGCAGGCGGAAUUCGUGGUGUAGCGGUGAAAUGCUUAGAUAUCACGAAGAACUCCGAUUGCGAAGGCAGCUUACUGGAUUGUAACUGACGCUGAUGCUCGAAAGUGUGGGUAUCAAACAGGAUUAGAUACCCUGGUAGUCCACACAGUAAACGAUGAAUACUCGCUGUUUGCGAUAUACAGUAAGCGGCCAAGCGAAAGCGUUAAGUAUUCCACCUGGGGAGUACGCCGGCAACGGUGAAACUCAAAGGAAUUGACGGGGGCCCGCACAAGCGGAGGAACAUGUGGUUUAAUUCGAUGAUACGCGAGGAACCUUACCCGGGCUUAAAUUGCAGAUGAAUUACGGUGAAAGCCGUAAGCCGCAAGGCAUCUGUGAAGGUGCUGCAUGGUUGUCGUCAGCUCGUGCCGUGAGGUGUCGGCUUAAGUGCCAUAACGAGCGCAACCCUUGUUGUCAGUUACUAACAGGUUCCGCUGAGGACUCUGACAAGACUGCCAUCGUAAGAUGUGAGGAAGGUGGGGAUGACGUCAAAUCAGCACGGCCCUUACGUCCGGGGCUACACACGUGUUACAAUGGGGGGUACAGAAGGCAGCUACACGGCGACGUGGUGCUAAUCCCGAAAGCCUCUCUCAGUUCGGAUUGGAGUCUGCAACCCGACUCCAUGAAGCUGGAUUCGCUAGUAAUCGCGCAUCAGCCACGGCGCGGUGAAUACGUUCCCGGGCCUUGUACACACCGCCCGUCAAGCCAUGGGAGCCGGGGGUACCUGAAGUGCGUAACCGCGAGGAGCGCCCUAGGGUAAAACUGGUGACUGGGGCUAAGUCGUAACAAGGUAGCCGUACCGGAAGGUGCGGCUG
rnacentral:rRNA from 1 species